UACGUAGGAUCCAAGCGUUAUCCGGAUUUAUUGGGUUUAAAGGGUGCGUAGGCGGGAUGCCAAGUCAGCGGUAAAAAUGCGGUGCUCAACGCCGUCGAGCCGUUGAAACUGGCGUUCUUGAGUGGGCGAGAAGUAUGCGGAAUGCGUGGUGUAGCGGUGAAAUGCAUAGAUAUCACGCAGAACUCCGAUUGCGAAGGCAGCAUACCGGCGCCCUACUGACGCUGAGGCACGAAAGCGUGGGUAUCGAACAGG
rnacentral:rRNA from 1 species